AUGGAACUCUCAAACAAACAUGUUUUCUUAACAAAAGCCGAACGUGAGCAGCUAGCCCUACAAACCCACCAACAUGAAAAUCUCUUCCAUUCUCGUCCUUCCUCCGAUGAUGCAGGCCAAAAAACAACAGACCGUGAAUCAUCCGAGAGGCAGAGACGCCGUGACUGCGACCACCUUAAGAGAAAACGUGAAGAGGGAGCUAGGGCAAGCCGCUUAGAGAAGGAGCUUGAAGCCAUUAAAGAACAGUAUCUAGGUUCCAACAAGCCUAAAAAACGUGUCAUUAAACCUAGCGAGAAGUUCCGGUUCUCUUUCGAUUGGGACACCACAGAAGACACUUCUCGUGACAUGAACCCCUUGUACCAAAACCCUCACGAGGCCCAUCUCUUGUUUGGGCGAGGGCUUCGCGCCGGUAUGGACCGGCGUGAGCAGAAGAUGCAGGCUGCCAAGCAAGAGAGGGAGAUUCGGAACAAGGAGUGCCGUGUGGAAGAGGAAGUAGUGUAUGAUUCUUUUGACAUGAAGGUGGAUCGACAUUGGAGUGAUAAGAAGCUUGGGGAGAUGAAUGAGAGGGAUUGGAGGAUUUUCCGAGAGGAUUUCAAUAUUUCAUACAAAGGGUCCAAGAUUCCUAGACCUAUUAGGAAAUGGGAUGAGAGUAAAUUGAGUGCGGAGUUGCUCAAGGCUGUGAAUAGGGCUGGUUAUAAGAAACCGUCUCCCAUUCAGAUGGCAGCAAUCCCUCUCGGUUUACAACAGCGUGAUGUUAUUGGCAUUGCCGAGACUGGUUCCGGCAAGACUGCUGCCUUUGUUCUUCCUAUGUUAAGUUAUAUAUCUAGGUUGCCUCCUAUUAGUGAAGAUAAUGAGGCUGAAGGGCCUUAUGCUGUGGUCUUGGCACCUACUCGCGAGCUUGCGCAGCAGAUUGAGAAAGAGACUGUCAAGCUUGCGCAUUACUUGGGAAUCAAGGUUGUUUCUAUUGUUGGUGGGAAGUCAAUUGAGGAACAGGGUUUUAGAAUCGCGCAAGGGUGUGAGGUUGUCAUUGCCACGCCAGGGCGUAUGAUUGAUUGUUUGCAGAGGCGUCUUGCUGUUUUGAAUCAGUGCAACUAUGUGGUUCUUGACGAGGCUGAUACGAUGAUAGAUAAAGGAUUUGAGGACCAGGUUGUUGGUGUCUUGGAUGCAAUGCCUUCGAGCAACUUGAAACCCGAGAAUGAGGAUGAAGAGCUAGAUGAGAAGAGGAUUUACAGAACCACUUAUAUGUUCAGCGCAACUAUGCCUCCUGCCGUGGAGCGACUCGCCCGUAAUUACUUGAGGAAUCCUGUUGUGGUUACUAUUGGCACUGCCGGAACCACCACUGAUUUGAUCACUCAGAAUGUGGUCAUGAUCAGCAAGGAAUCCGAGAAGUUUGAAAAGUUGAAAAAAUUGCUUGAUGAAGUACUUGGUGAUCAUAAGAAUGCUAUUGUAUUUGCCAACACCAAGAAAAAUGUUAGUAGUCUAGCCAAGAAUUUGAGCAAGAAUGGAUAUCAUCAUGUGAUCACUUUGCAUUCGGAUUUAUCACAACCACAGAGAGACUCUAACCUUGAAGGUUUUAGGACCAAGAGAUACAAUGUCCUUAUUGCGACAGAUGCUGCAGGACGAGGUAUUGAUGUGCCGGAUGUGUCACAUGUAAUAAACUAUGAAAUGCCGUCAAAGAUAGAAACGUACACUCAUCGAAUUGGACGUACUGGUCGUGCAGGGAAGAGUGGUUUAGCCACAACAUUCUUGACAAUGCAAGACACUGGGGUGUUCUAUGAUCUCAAGAAGAUGCUCAUUCAGAGCAACAGUCCUGUUCCUUCUGAGCUAGCGAGACACGAAGCCUCAAAGUAUAAGCCUGGCACAUUUCGUGACAGACCGCCGAGGCGUAACUAGACUAUUCUUAUUCAUUCUAAUAUUCUCUCCUUACAUGGAGAAUUGCCCGGAGGUCCCCAUAAGAUAGGGUUUUACUCUGUGGAACAACUUAUGACCUUUGUUGCCACUAAAUUGAGUGCUGUGAAAAGGAUCACAACUGAUGAUGCUAAAGGAAUAUUAACUCCUCUUGCAGGACACAUUGAGGCUGAUGUAAACUACAGAAGGAUAGAAGUUGUGAAUUUUCCCGGGCACAACAUAUUCAGGGACUUAAGAAUCCCCUUGUACCAUGGAUGGAAAGUUGUUCCAAAGGUACAUGUUCCACAAGACUUAUCAGUUAAUGACCUACGCCUAAUAGCGGGUGCAGCUCAGAACUCUUCAAUAACUCCACAGGAGUUGGAUUUUAUUAGAAACACUUAUCCGGAGACCGAGUGCACUGCAUAUGGCUAUACUGCAUUGGCAGCAGUCCUUCAUUGUGUGAGGAGUAGGAUUUGUGUACUUUAUUGGCAUUCGCGAUUUUACACACUACAUAAGAAGGAUGAUGGACUUGUUAUACUUGACCAUUUUGGAGAAUGGAUAAAGAUUUGUGAGAGAAGGAUCCUGAUAGAUGGUCCUAGUCUUGGCCGCCGUCGGUUUAAGAUUAGAUGUGGUGGGAUGAUACGUGCUGUGAAUUCCAUGCUGUGUGAAAAUAUUAGAGACCAAGCCAAUCUACUGCCACACAUAGACAUUCAGGUUUAUUAUCAUGAGUCCUUAGAUUCAGUUGUGCAGUGUAUUGAGUCCGGCGAUCAUUUUGAUUUGGUUGCUAUCAACUAUGAAAAGUUUGAUGGAUCACAAGCUGUCAAGAAAAAGAUCUGUGAAUGGCUAUGGAGAUUGCGUAGCUCAGGUUUCUAUGGUCUGGUUAUAGCAAUUAUAUGGUCUUGGUCGGAUGGAGAUGAGUAUCAGCAGUGGGUCAACAACGAGAUAUACACACAAGUGGGCAUCAGUGGGAUCCGAUAUGUGAGGGCUGAAUGUCUGCAAGAAAGUGAGGUUUUUAUCAGGACGCUGGUUCCGAUAUUUGAGGAAGCUAUUUGGAGGAGGGAGGUGGUGUAUGCUGAGGAGUAUCCUGCUGAUAUUCAGUCCCUUGAGUUUAUUAGGAGGGGGUAG